ensembl:misc_RNA Metazoa_SRP Metazoan signal recognition particle RNA
GCCGGGCGUGGUGGCUCACGCCUGUAAUCCCAGCACUUUGGGAGGCUGAGGUGGGUGGAUCACUUGAGGUCAGGAAUUUGAUACCGGCCUGACCAACAUGGUGAAACCCUGUCUCUA